CCUACGGGAGGCAGCAGUGAGGAAUUUUCCGCAAUGGGCGAAAGCCUGACGGAGCAAUACCGCGUGAGGGAUGAAGGAUUUUGGUCUGUAAACCUCUUUUCUCAAGAAAGAAGUUCUGACGGUACUUGAGGAAUAAGCAUCGGCUAACUCCGUGCCAGCAGCCGCGGUAAUACGGGGGAUGCAAGCGUUAUCCGGAAUGAUUGGGCGUAAAGCGCCUGUAGGUUGUUUAUUAAGUCCGUUGUUAAAGCCUAGGGCUUAACCCUAGAAAAGCAAUGGAAACUAGUAGACUAGAGUAUGGCAGGGGUAGAGGGAAUUUCUAGUGUAGCGGUGAAAUGCGUAGAUAUUAGAAAGAACACCGGUGGCGAAAGCGCUCUACUGGACCAUUACUGACACUCAGAGGCGAAAGCUAGGGUAGCAAAAGAGAUUAGAUACCCCUGUAGUCCUAGCCGUAAACGAUGGAUACUAGAUGUUGUGNAUAUNUACAGUAUACGUAGUACUACGUACGUAGUAUCCGUCCGUCGGGUAGGUACGUCGUCGCGAGGUAGGAACGUACGAAGUAGUAAGUUAGUACGGCGUGUAAGUACGUGUUCCGACGGACGACGACGAGGGAGGAGG
rnacentral:rRNA from 1 species